rnacentral:lncRNA from 1 species
AGCGCUCCAGGAACAGCUUGGAGAGCCCUGGGCUAUAGUAACAGAGUAAGCUGGCAGAAACUCGGAGGAAAAAAACGUGUCGGUACAUAAAUUGCAACAUGGAUAUAGAUAUUAUUCAUGACACCAGCUGGAAGGCAGUUUUUUUUUCUCAGUGCGCCAUUGAUGUGAAUGCAGCAAUAUAAUGAAGCCUCAACUCGUCAGGGCACGGACUUUACAAGGUGUCGAAAGCAUUCCACAGGGAUCCUGGCCCAUGUUGACUCCAAUGCUUCCACACUUGUGUCAAGUUGGCUGGAUGUCCUUUGGUGGCUGUACAAUAUGGAAUGUGGGAUGAGGGAUGAAGUGCAAAGGAUCAGUCUCUUCUCACAUAUGACAGACCUCUCCACACAUAAGAAUACCAUCCCACAUCCUCCCUUUCCUACACACGAUCAAGAUCCAAUGUUGAAUUUCAAAUAAUGCAUUUGUAUUGCCUGUAUUUCAGAACAUACUACAUCACAUCAGAGAUUUUUCCACAAUGUACAAGAAUAUAUGCAGUACCAGUCAAGUUUGCACACACCCACUCAUUUAAAUGGUUUUCCAAAUGCUUUCUCUUCACUUUCCUCCAUGUAG